rnacentral:rRNA from 1 species
AGAGUGAACGCUGGCGGUAGGCCUAACACAUGCAAGUCGAACGGCAGCACAGUGGUAGCAAUACCAUGGGUGGCGAGUGGCGGACGGGUGAGGAAUACAUCGGAAUCUACCUUUUCGUGGGGGAUAACGUAGGGAAACUUACGCUAAUACCGCAUACGCCCUUCGGGGGAAAGCCGGGGAUCGCAAGACCUGGCGCGGAUAGAUGAGCCGAUGUCGGAUUAGCUAGUUGGUGAGGUAAUGGCUCACCAAGGACGACGAUCCGUAGCUGGUCUGAGAGGAUGAUCAGCCACACUGGAACUGAGACACGGUCC